rnacentral:rRNA from 1 species
UACGGAGGGGACUAGCGUUGUUCGGAAUUACUGGGCGUAAAGCGCGCGUAGGCGGAUUUGCAAGUCGGGGGUGAAAGCCCGAGGCUCAACCUCGGAACUGCCCUCGAUACUGCAAAUCUCGAGUCCGAGAGAGGUGAGUGGAAUUCCUAGUGUAGAGGUGAAAUUCGUAGAUAUUAGGAAGAACACCAGUGGCGGAGGCGGCUCACUGGCUCGGUACUGACGCUGAGGCGCGAAAGCGUGGGGAGCAAACAGG